AGAGUUUAGUCAUGGCUCAGGAUGAACGCUAGCGGCAGGCCUAACACAUGCAAGUCGAACGGUAACAGGAAAGAGCUUGCUCUUUUGCUGACGAGUGGCGCACGGGUGCGUAACGCGUAUACAAUCUACCUUUUACAGGGGUAUAGCCUUUAGAAAUGAAGAAUAAUACCCCAUAGUAUCUAUAUUUCGCAUGGAAAUUAGAUUAAAGUUACGGCGGUAAAAGAUGAGUAUGCGUUCUAUUAGCUAGAUGGUAAGGUAACGGCUUACCAUGGCGACGAUAGAUAGGGGCCCUGAGAGGGGGAUCCCCCACACUGGUACUGAGACACGGACCAGACUCCUACGGGAGGCAGCAGUGAGGAAUAUUGGACAAUGGGCGCGAGCCUGAUCCAGCCAUGCCGCGUGCAGGAAGACUGCCCUAUGGGUUGUAAACUGCUUUUAUACAGGAAGAAACCACAGAACGUGUUCUGUGCUGACGGUACUGUAAGAAUAAGGAUCGGCUAACUCCGUGCCAGCAGCCGCGGUAAUACGGAGGAUCCAAGCGUUAUCCGGAAUCAUUGGGUUUAAAGGGUCCGUAGGUGGAUAAUUAAGUCAGAGGUGAAAGUUUGCGGCUCAACCGUAAAUUGCCUUUGAUACUGGUUAUCUUGAAUUAUUGUGAAGUGGUUAGAAUAUGUAGUGUAGCGGUGAAAUGCAUAGAUAUUACAUAGAAUACCAAUUUGCGAAGGCCA
rnacentral:rRNA from 1 species